CGGAUUGUAGUCUGNAACCCGACUACAUGAAGCUGGAAUCGCUAGUAAUCGCAGGUCAGCAUACUGCGGUGAAUACGUUCCCGGGUCUUGUACACACCGCCCGUCACACCAUGGGAGCCGGAAAUGCCCGAAGCCAGUGACCCAACCUUAGGGAGGGAGCUGUCGAAGGUGGAGCCGGUAACUGGGGUGAAGUCGUAACAAGGUACC
rnacentral:rRNA from 1 species